rnacentral:lncRNA from 1 species
AAUAAUAAUAGAAAAGAAGAAUAGAAACAACCACCAAUGUAAUGAGACCCCACAAUUGGCACAUUACAAGUGGUGUGUCAAACCAAUUGAAGUGUAGUUGGCCCUAUCCCCAUACAUUUUCAAAUGUCAAGCAAGCUUCCAAGCCUAGAUCGUGGCAAGGCCCACCACCACAUGGGUGUUUGCAAGUACACCGGCCCUUGGGAUGGAUACCAGUGGG